rfam:Stegodyphus mimosarum contig103797, whole genome shotgun sequence.
GUCUUCGUGGUGUAGUGGCCAGCACCCUCGGUGCGUAUUCGAGAGAUCCGUGGUUCGAGUCCCGGCGAGGGCA